CUUCUAUAGAAAAAUCCACCUUCAGGAAGAGUAUUCGUGGGUCACAGUGAUGCUUCUUCCCAUGACCUUGGAAAGUUUGGCCAUGCAGAGCAUGAGCUAUGGAGCUGGAGUACCUGGGCUUAAAACCAGGCAUUUCUAGCCCUGGCCUCACCGGCCGCAUGACUUGAGGCCUGACACUUAGUAGAGAGGAAAAUAUACAAAUGGCCAAUAAGCACAUGAGCACAUCAUUUGUCAUCAGGGAAAUGAAAAUCCAAACCACAAUGAGAUAGCACAUCACACCUACUCACAGAGCUAGCAAAAGAUGGGAUAAUAACAAGCCUUCAUGAGGAUCUGGAAAAAUUGGAGCCUUCCUACACUGCUGAUGGGAUAUAAAAUGGCAAAGCUGUUCUGGAAAAUCAUCUGACAGUGAGCAUUCGCUACUUUACAAAAGAAGAAACAAGACUAUUUUGUUGAAGUGUGCCAAUGUGAAAGGGUUAGUUAGUUAUUAUUGGUCUGAAUACGUGGACUUUGGAGCCUGGCAGGUCAACAAUGACACGCAGAAAAGCACACAACACAAGGGUGACUGCAGAUUGCUGGGCAGAGGGCGUUUACUUUCUGGUCCACUGAAUACCCCGCUCUGGAUGCUAGCGGCCAAGUUUCCUUCUGUGUUAUGUGGGAGGAAAAAGGAUGUCAGAAACUUGUCUGCUAAAGGAAGAGUGUUAUGGGCUGAAUUACAUCACGCUAAAAUUCGUACGUGGAAGCCCUAACUCAUAGUACCUCCGAAUGUGACUGGAUGAGAUAGGGUCUUUAAAGGGUGAUUAAAUGAAGGUGAGGCCAUUAGGGUGGGCUUUAAUCCAAUCUGAUUGGUGUUCUUAUAAGAUGAGAAAGUAAGACUCACUGAGAGACCCCAGGAAUGUGCACACACAGAAAAGAGACCAUGUGAGGACACAGCCAGAAGGCAGCCAAGGAGAGAGGUCUCAGAAGAAACUAAACUCGUCGGCACCUUGAUCUUAGACUUCUAGCUUCCAGAACUUGGGAGAAAAUAAGUGUCUGUUGUUUAAGCUGCCCUGUCUGCUAUUUUGUUAUGGUAGCCCAGCAAAUGAAUACAAGGAUACUCAUGAUUUUAAGUUUCUGCAUGUUGCCAUGUGUAAAUAUUUCAGCCCAAAUAGUUUCACAAAUGCUGCCUUUUUUUUUUUUGCCUUCACGGAGGACCUUUCUUCAACAAAUAUUUCAUAACAAAAACCUCAUCAAAGAAGUUGUCUUUAUUUAUGAUUUUGCAUAAUGAUAGGUCUCCUGAAUUUCAUUUCAUUCCUGUUCAGAACAUAAAUUUAUCCAAUUAAAAAUAGGUGCUUUAGCAAAUGAUUCAUCUUACAAGGUGAGAUAUUUCAAAACGCAAUGACAGGAUUUCAAUGUUAAUAUUGUAUACUAGCUGAGGGCUCAUUGUUGAAUGGGUUCAGAGCCCCCUGUGCUUAUUAAUAAAGGGUAAAUUUCAAGUCUCCCUGUUUGAAAAUGAUGCUUCCCAUAACUGAAUUUUAGAAUUUAAUUUGAUAAAUA